AUGGCAUAUUUGAAGAAUGAUUGCCAUACUAAUGAACUAAUAUUGUAUUUUAUUGAAAUUAAAACUUAUUUUGCGUUGUUAAACUUGAUUUUGGUUAUUAAAUUUUAAGAGGUAUAUAUUAGUUUUGUUUUAUAAAAUCGAGCCAAACCAAUCUGAGCCGAGCUAGCUCGGUUUAAAACCAAGCCGAGCCCGAGCUUAGAUUUUCAGCUCGGUUUCAAAUCCGAGCCGAGCCGAGCCAGCUCGGUUUAUAAUCGAGCCGAGCCCGAGCUUGGCCUGGCUCGGCUCAUGAACACCCCUAAAAAUCAUAUACAAAACAUGUGUGUCAUCAUAGUUAUAUACUUAUGUGUGUUAGGAUAUUAAGCAAUAAAAAAAAUCUAACGAAAGGGACCCUGAUUUUAGAAUCUGAUUUGGGCCUUAAAAAGAAGGUUGAGCCAGCCAGCCUUGACUCAGUUCAGUUUUGAACUCCCACCGAACCAAAACCAAAAACUUCAGUUAUUCGGUUUUUGAAGUGGUUUUGGUUGGGUUAUGGAUCGGUUAACCAACGCAUGUAUUAAGACCAAUAAGACUAGAAGGUAUGGUUUGGCUCAUCCCCAUGGGGAUGAGCCUCCACGUAGGCGCCACAUAUGCGGCUAGCAUGGGAUGAGCCAAAUUAAAGAUGGAGGGGGAUGGAGGAUGGGGCCCCACCAAAUAUUUUUUAUUGUUUAAUUCAUUUUAAUUGUUUUACUUUUAUUUAUUUAACUUUUUUUUAUAAAAAGUAUUCAAAAUUUAAAUAAAAAUACUACUAAAAGGAAGAUAAUAAAAUUCAUUAC
rnacentral:lncRNA from 1 species